AGAUUGAACGCUAGCGGGAUGCUUUACGACAUGCAAGUCGAACGGCAGCGCGGACUUCGGUCUGGCGGCGAGUGGCGAACGGGUGAGUAAUAUAUCGGAACGUGCCCAGUAGCGGGGGAUAACUACGCGAAAGCGUGGCUAAUACCGCAUACGCCCUACGGGGGAAAGGGGGGGAUUCUUCGGAACCUCUCACUAUUGGAGCGGCCGAUAUCAGAUUAGCUAGUUGGUGAGGUAAAGGCUCACCAAGGCGACGAUCUGUAGCUGGUUUGAGAGGACGACCAGCCACACUGGGACUGAGACACGGCCCAGAAUCCUACGGGAGGCAGCAGUGGGGAAUUUUGGGACAAGUGGGGGAAACCCU
rnacentral:rRNA from 1 species